GACUGCCAACAGGGGCACUGGCCUUCCUCCAGUUCCCUGCCUCUGAUAUUGACUAAGCCAUGGGACUGUUGGUACAUCUCCUCUCUGUAUUUGGAGUAUCGUCUUCAUAAUGCUAAUUUCCAUGCAGCUCCUUCCAUAGCCAUUUGGUCUCAUGAAACUUGGCAAAAAGCAUUUGAGGUGGAACGCCAAGAGCUACUGGCCAGUAAUAAGAAGAAAUGGGAGCAAGCCCUUCAGGCUCAUAAUGCCAAAGAGCUGGAGUAUCUUAUCAACCGCAUGAAGAAAGUAGAGGACUAUGAGAAGCAGCUGAACAAGCAGAGGAUCUGGGAUUGCGAAGAAUACAACAUGAUCAAGAUCAAGCUGGAGCAGGAUGUGCAGAUUCUUGAGCAGCAGCUUCAGCAGAGGAAAGCAAUUUAUCAGCUAAACCAAGAGAAAUUAGAGUACAACUUGCAGGUGCUGAAGAAGAGAGAUGAAGAAAGCACAGUAAUUAAAUCCCAGCAGAAGAGGAAGAUCAAUCGCCUGCAUGAUAUACUUAACAAUCUGAGAUCAAAAUAU
rnacentral:sRNA from 1 species